GAUGAACGCUGGCGGCGUGCCUAAUACAUGCAAGUCGAGCGAACGGACGAGAAGCUUGCUUCUCUGAUGUUAGCGGCGGACGGGUGAGUAACACGUGGAUAACCUACCUAUAAGACUGGGAUAACUUCGGGAAACCGGAGCUAAUACCGGAUAAUAUUUUGAACCGCAUGGUUCAAAAGUGAAAGACGGUCUUGCUGUCACUUAUAGAUGGAUCCGCGCUGCAUUAGCUAGUUGGUAAGGUAACGGCUUACCAAGGCAACGAUGCAUAGCCGACCUGAGAGGGUGAUCGGCCACACUGGGACUGAGACACGGUCCAGACUCCUACGGGAGGCAGAAGUAGGGAAUCUUCCGCAAUGGGCGGAAGCCUGACGGAGCAGCGCCACGUGAGUGAUGAAGGUCUUCGGAUCGUAAGACUCUGUUAUUAGGGAAGAACAUAUGCGUAAGUAGCUGUGCACAUCUUGACGGUACCUAAUCAGAAAGCCACGGCUAACUACGUG
rnacentral:rRNA from 1 species